rnacentral:rRNA from 1 species
UACGUAGGGGGCUAGCGUUGCUCGGAAUCACUGGGCGUAAAGGGUGCGUAGGCGGUUCUUUAAGUCGAGGGUGAAAUCCUGGAGCUCAACUCCAGAACUGCCUUUGAUACUGAGGAUCUUGAGUUCGGGAGAGGUGAGUGGAACUGCGAGUGUAGAGGUGAAAUUCGUAGAUAUUCGCAAGAACACCAGUGGCGAAGGCGGCUCACUGGCCCGAUACUGACGCUGAGGCACGAAAGCGUGGGGAGCAAACAGG